rnacentral:sRNA from 1 species
AAUUAACCAGCAGAGCCAGCUGGCUGAAAAGCUGAAGCAACAGAUGUUGGAUCAGGAUGAGCUUUUAGCUUCCACAAGAAGAGACUAUGAGAAGAUACAGGAGGAGCUGACACGUCUCCAGAUUGAAAAUGAGGCAGCCAAGGAUGAGGUGAAAGAAGUUCUCCAGGCCCUGGAGGAGCUGGCUGUCAAUUACGACCAGAAAUCACAGGAAGUGGAGGAUAAGACCCGGGCCAAUGAGCAGCUGACAGACGAGCUGGCCCAGAAAACGACUACAUUGACAACCACACAGAGAGAGCUGAGCCAGCUACAAGAGCUUAGCAACCACCAGAAGAAAAGGGCAACUGAGAUCCUGAAUUUGCUGUUGAAAGAUCUGGGGGAGAUAGGUGGAAUUAUUGGCACCAAUGAUGUGAAAACUUUGGCAGAUGUGAAUGGAGUCAUUGAGGAGGAGUUUACCAUGGCCCGCCUGUACAUCAGCAAGAUGAAGUCAGAGGUCAAGUCCCUGGUGAACCGCAGUAAACAGCUUGAGAGCGCCCAGAUGGACUCCAACAGGAAGAUGAACGCCAGCGAGCGGGAGCUGGCAGCCUGCCAGCUGCUCAUCUCCCAGCACGAAGCCAAGAUCAAGUCUCUGACAGACUACAUGCAGAACAUGGAACAGAAGAGGAGGCAGCUAGAAGAGUCCCAGGACUCGCUCAGUGAAGAGCUGGCGAAGCUCCGAGCCCAAGAAAAAAUGCACGAAGUCAGCUUCCAGGAUAAGGAGAAGGAACAUCUGACGCGGUUGCAGGAUGCUGAAGAAAUGAAGGUGUGUGUGGCUGCCCCUUCCAUCAAGCCCAGUGUGCAUUUGAUGCAUUUGGAUUGGAAAUGCUUGUUCUAGGAAAAUCUGUCACCUUCAGAUCUGUGUAUGGCAGGGAACAGGGGAGGGGCUGUUGUUGGGCAUUCAGAGUCGAUCUCAGAGUAUAGUCUGUCUUAGAAAUGAACAAGUCCAGAAACCCCAAGAUGUCUAUAGAGAAUGGUUAAGUUGCAUUAAUACCUUUGUCUUCACCAUUCCUGAUGAACAGGGAAAGGGUAGCACCCCCAAUCACUGCAUGGGCUCUUUUGUUGGAGUUAACUUCUAAAGAUUUCUUUCUCCAACCUUUACGAAGAACACACCAAAUUUGAGUUUCUAUCUCAAACAUAGAGAUUUUUCUUUUGGUCACAUUUUAAACUGUAAAGGAAAAUUGAUUGGGGAGUAAGACUUUUAGGUGAAUAAAAUGAGACAGGAGAAGAUGUAGGAUUUUGAUUAGUUGUAGGCAAACUAUGAGCCUCAUUGAGUCAAAGUCCACAGUUAAAGACGUCCACGGCAUGCCCCUGCUCCAGCCAGCAGAAUAAAAUCAUGCGUCGUGGGAGUCCCUUUCCUGUUUUCGGAGUGCUUUUGCCGAAAGGUCUCCUUUGGACAUCAUCAUAAAUCUGUUCAGUGGGCAGGGCAGGGGCUUUUAUCUCAGUUUUACAUGUGAGGGAGUGCAGCUCACACAGGUUACAGGCUUGUCUGAGGUUACGUGGAUAGGGAGAGGUUGGUGCCCUCUGACUGACCUGGCUGGAGAAGCUCAGGCUGGGCUGUAGAAGGUCAAGGGAACACUUUUUAUUUAGUUGGUGGAUUAAUUGGCUUCUAGGGCCAACUUGGUUUUAUAACAGAUCUUGGAUUUUGUUAUCCCAAUAAAGCAAGGCUGGGUCCUGGGGGCAAAAGAGCCAGAAAUACCCCCAGUUUUGGGAUCUGACAUCUGAGGGACACUGGGAAGGAGGUAGGUCCAGAUCCAGGGCUUGUCACAGAGUGGGCUGAGUGCCAACGAGUAGAUGACAUGUUUCUCUUGGCCUGGGAUGCAGAAGGCUCUGGAGCAGCAGAUGGAGAGCCACCGGGAAGCUCACCAGAAGCAGCUGUCCAGACUCCGAGACGAAAUUGAGGAGAAGCAGAAAAUCAUUGAUGAGAUUCGGGAGUGAGUUGGCCCAGGGCUCCAGGGGCGUGGGGGUGGUCAUGCCUCUGUCCUCUUGGGGAAGCCCGGAAGGAUGUGGCUCUUAGCCGAGGGCCCUGCUCACCUUGCCCUGUGGGCACACAGCAGGCUGGACGGGCUGCUUCCAAUGUCUGUUCUCUGAUCUGGAGCUGAGCCUCCUGGAGCCCUGGCAUGGCAGGUGGCAGGCGGGCCCAGCUGCCUCUCCUAGUCCCCGAGGGCCAGGGUCACAUAGGUGAUUCCGCUGGAUGGAUGCAUGCCCCAGUAGAUGGGGGGGAGCAUCUGUAAUGAAAGCACCAAAAA